GAUGAAGAACGCAGCGAAAUGCGAUACGUAAUGUGAAUUGCAGAAUUCAGUGAAUCAUCUAAUCUUUGAACGCAUAUUGCGCUCUCUGGUAUUCCGGAGAGCAUGCUUGUUUGAGUAUCAGUAAACACCUCAACUCCCCUUUCUUUUUUGAAAUGGGAGCUGGACUUGAGUGAUCCCAACGCUUUUCUCACCGAAAAGUGGCGGGUUACUUGAAAUGCAGGUGCAGCUGGACUUUUCUCUGAGCUAAAAGCAUAUCUAUUUAGUCUGCCUAAAAACAGAUUAUUACCUUUGCUGCAGCUAACAUAAAGGAGAUUAGUUCUUGUGCUGACUGAUGCAGGAUUCACAGAGACAGCUUCGGCUGGCCUUUGUAAACUCGAUCUCAAAUCAAGUAAGACUACCCGCUGAACUUAAGCAUAUCAAUAAGCGGAGGA
rnacentral:misc_RNA from 1 species